rnacentral:rRNA from 1 species
AACGAACGCUGGCGGCAGGCCUAACACAUGCAAGUCGAGCGAACCCUUCGGGGUUAGCGGCGGACGGGUUAGUAACGCGUGGGAAUAUACCCUUUGGUACGGAAUAGCCUCGGGAAACUGAGGGUAAUACCGUAUGUGCCCUUCGGGGGAAAGAUUUAUCGCCAAAGGAUUAGCCCGCGUUGGAUUAGAUAGUUGGUGGGGUAAUGGCCUACCAAGUCUACGAUCCAUAGCUGGUUUGAGAGGAUGAUCAGCAACACUGGGACUGAGACACGGCCCAGACUCCUACGGGAGGCAGCAGUGGGGAAUCUUAGACAAUGGGCGCAAGCCUGAUCUAGCCAUGCCGCGUGGACGAUGAAGGCCUUAGGGUUGUAAAGUCCUUUCAGAUGGGAAGAUAAUGACGGUACCAUCAGAAGAAGCCCCGGCUAACUCCGUGCCAGCAGCCGCGGUAAAGUCGAUA